UCUUUUUAAUAUUUGGACUGUUUGGCCUCUGAAGGUUCUAUAAUGAUUUUGACUAACAUAUUGCAUUAGUUGAGGACGAAAGAAUGUAAAGUAUUCAAAAAAUCCAUUUCCAACAUGGUUUUUUAAUGCAUGUCAUGCUUCUAAAGGGAUUAGUGGUAAGACUUAUCUGUGGUUUUAAACUGUAAUUGUGAUGACCUUUCCACGCUACCUUGUUGUCAUUCCCUUGGCAUGUGAUGAUUAACUAUUCAGUAUCCACAUAAUAAAGGCAUUGAUGUUGACAUUAUUAUCUGGCCUCUCUGCAAGCUACCUUGUUGUCAUUCCCUUGGCAUGUGAUGAUUAACUAUUCAGUAUCCACAUAAUAAAGGCAUUGAUGUUGACAUUAUUAUCUGGCCUCUCUGCAAGAUGCUUGCGAAGUAAUGUCAAAAGAAAUUGAAUUGGUCACUGGUGCGUACAAUAGUGC
rnacentral:lncRNA from 1 species